rnacentral:ncRNA from 1 species
AGAGAUAAAUGGAAAUAGAAGCUGUGAGCAGUUUCUGCUCUGAACUGUAUACAUCCUUGCGGUAUUUUUGGCAGAUGGUGGGGCUCUAUUUUGUUGGUUUUCGGAACAGAGGUCAAAAUUAAGAGGGGCGCUUGGAGCAUUCGUAUUGUGCCACUAAAGGUAAAUUCUUGGACCAGUGAAACACAGACCAGAGGGAAAGCAUUUGCCAAUAAUGUUUUCAUUAGUCAAGAAAGAAAGUCAGAGGUUCAAAGAUGAUCAGAAAGCAUCUUAGUU